CCAGAGGACCAGGGUUCAAUCCUAUCUGCCACAAGAGACUCACAGCUGUCUCUGAAUUCAGUCCCAGAUGCCCUCUUCUGGCUCCCACACAGGCAUUGAAUGCAUGUGGUAGAUAAACAUGCAGACAAAACACAUAUACACAUAAAUUAAAUUUAAAAGCAAUAAAUAAGUAAAUAAUAAGGAAGAACUGGGAAUAUUGUCCAGUGGACUAGUCCAUAGGUCCUAGGUUUACUACCCAAGAAAAAAGACAGAUACACAGGUGGAAAGAAAGAGGGAGAAUCAGAGUCUCAUAAAGUUGUGCUUCUCUUUCCUUUAUACAAGGCCACAUCAAAAACUGAUGCCUAUGACAACCAACCUACACAUACAUGGUCAUUGUUUACACGUCACCCAUGAGCAACCCAGACUGACCAAGAUAGUUGUAAAAAAAAAAGUGCAGAAAGUGAGUCUAUAAAUGCCAAAAGAAAGGCCAAUAAGAUGUGUAAUUUAUAUUGAGACUGCAUUACUGCCCCAAGGACCGCAAUAACCAGACAAAAGUCUUUGUGUUGUAUCAGACAAUGAUCAUCUGACAUCUAUCAGCAUUCUCCAAGUUGCCUCUUCCCCUCGGAGUUAUGUAAUAUUCUAAUCAAUAAUUAAUAGCGAGUUAAAUAAAGGACAGGGCAGAAAAUCAAAUGACUUCAAAGCCGUUAGUCAGAGCUGCACCUGGGUAGACACAGGAAGACCUGUGCACCUUUGGCUUCAUUAAAAUCUUGGACAGUUUUCUCAACAGAAGUAUGUAAGCAUGUGCUCAUGUCUGUGACAUUUAGGAGGUUAUGAAUAUUUAAGAAAUAGGAACUGAAAGUCCUUCUGCUUGCUAAUGGAGGCGACACCCACAUCACCAGAGGCUUUUAGAGACAAUCAUCGGGCCUGCCAGCCCAGCAGGAUGCAAUCUGCAAUUACUUUGCUGCAGAUUUGGAAACAGAAUUGAUUUUACCUUAUGUAAUCCUACUGACCCAAGAACUCUAGAAAGCCAUUUUGGAGUGAGUCAACAGAUUUGGGGUCUAUAGAGGAAAUAACUUUGAAGCCCAGAAGUUCAAGUCCUUAGAAUCAUUCUGAAUACCGCUGUGUAUUUUUGUUCUAGUGUGCUUUGGCUAGACCAAGAAGGCUGGUCUCACAAAAAUGCACAAGACAUAUGGCACAGAGCCUCCAAAGGAUCCAUUUGUACUUCUGUCAAAGAAAAACAUCUAUAUCUAUGUAAUCAGUGUUUUCCUACUACAUAUAAGUUUGUAGUCAAGACAAAAUACUGACUUUAAAAUCCCAAAUAAAGGGAACAAUGGGUGUUUUUAUGGGCAUAAGUUGGCAUUUAGAAUAUCUAGAUCACAAUUUCUUCAUUCUGUGGGAGAGCGGAUGUUACCAUGGUGUCACCCAUGAUAGCAUAUCUCAAGCUUGCCAGUGAAUGAAUUCAUACUCUUUUCACUAUUUUUUUUUUACCAAUUAUGGAUUGUAUAUGGUUUAGUUGUGUGACCAGGACCUUACAAGCACUAUGGCCAACCCACCCAGUACUAUGACAUGUUCAGAGAGUGUCCCUGCCAUAUACUUAGAUAUCACUAAAUAGCGGACUGCUUUAAAGGUUUCUAACACUUUCUGAUUCUGUGUUUACCUCAAUGUUAGCCUGUCACAACAGGUCAAGGAAAGUGUCAGUUGUUAGGCAGUAGAUCUAGAAAGUCUGUAAACCUGUCCAUUCCAGGAAGACUUAGAAAUAGAAGGGGAACACAAAACAAGAAGCUAUGAAACAACACAAUCUCUUUCCUUAGCUUCACUCUAGUCCACACUAGGGAUUUCAAAAUAUCCAGGCUCAUAUGAAGAGUUCAAGGGCAUAAGACCAGGGCCCACUAACUGAGUUUCACUCAGAGGAACCUGCAGAACUGUGGACAUGCUGAAACCAUAGUUAGCAUGUACAAGAAGAAUGGAAUGGAGGUAAUGAGUUAAACACACCUGAGCUCAUGUUCUUGGUUCCAUCUCUCUAUGUAUAGCCAAUAAGGCAUCCAGACUUGCUCAUCCAGCCAUCCUGGAAUAUGCUAUGGGAGGCCAGAGAGGCUUCAAUGUUAGGACAAAGGGAUAGCCUUGGUGGGGACUUAGAAACAAGUAUAAAUAGUGCACUUCUCCUGAAAGGUCAGAUGAACCAGAUACAUCCAGCAGUCACCCUACCAGGGAUCAGAAGGCAGCACAGAUCCAGAAUACUCUGUAUGGAUCUCAAAAUGCUCAUCACCACAUCACAAGGACAUAAUGACCCUCCGUACACCCACAUCUGCUGGAAGGUAAGUAAGGAGGGGAGAUGGGACCCAGAAAGCCUAAAGAAUGGAGGACUGAACUCAUCUAUGGUAAAAAUUAAAAUAAGAUGAAAUAGUUUUUAAAAGUCUGGUGGUCGUUUAAUCAGAAAAGAGAUUUUUAAUUGUAGGAAUAUGUAGCAUUGGUAAUAAGUUUCCCUCAACAACCCGGAAAGAUGGGUCCCUGUAAACCUGGAAAGGAUAUUAAGUCUGCUGUAAGAAGUGCAGGUGCAUUUUCCUAGUGUAUUAAAGGAACAUAGGCAUAUUCCUUGUGCACCAGUUUCUUGUUUUUUGUUUUUUGUUUUCUUUUUGUCAUAGCACUAAGGAAGAAGCUAGAACUCAGGAAUCAAGGGAAACAUGGAGGAAUGAUGGAUUUCCCCAAACAGAGUUAAAAAAACUAAUUUGGAAGAAAAGAAAAUUCAGCAUGAGCCAAAAAGUGUAUGGAGGUGCUGAAAGGCACCCUUCCUUCCUGCCCAGCCAUGGUCUCACUUGGAGUAGAAGUCUCCAGAAACAACCAGUCCUCUGUCCUUCUGUUCCAGCCUCCUACAGCUCUGCUCUCUGAGAAGUCAUGCUGACUCAUUGGCUCAAGCUGUGAUGCUCAGCUGUCUGUCCAUCUUGUCUCCUGGAACAGCUCAAUCCAGGGUCUUCCUGAAGUGGUGAUCACUCCAGCUGGCAGGGGUAGAAAAUGGUACCAGUCAGGUCAGAGCUCUGGGAUCCCACAGUCACUGCUGCAGGAUGGAGGAACCUACUCCUGAGCCUGUCUAUGUGGAUGUGGACAAGGGGCUGACCUUGGCUUGCUUCGUUUUCCUCUGCCUCUUCCUCGUAGUCAUGAUCAUCCGCUGUGCCAAAGUCAUCAUGGACCCCUACAGUGCCAUCCCCACGUCAACCUGGGAGGAGCAGCACCUGGAUGACUGAGGCACAGGACAGGUCUCAGUAUCCCCAACAUGCCUUUGUACACUCUGGCCAACAUCCUGCGAGCACUUGGAGACUGGGAGUGGCUAUGAUCACCCAAAACUGGAGAAGGCUCACCUUUGCCUUACUGGCUCUCACAUGACCACCAGAGGGGAAUGCCAUCGUGCAGGAGCCAAGGCAGUCUGGAGGAUCCUGGGGAGAGGAAUGCUGAGCCAUGACUCAGUCGAGUGGAGAUGAUGUUGGGACUCCACUGGGAGACAGCAGGGUGAUAGUUCCCUGCCCAGGCUCCUGGGCACCUUUGAAAACUGAACCAAAACCAGAUACUCUGGUCUACAAAUAGUGGUCAGGAGGAGACUGACCUUCAACUACACAGCAUGGAGAGGUUGCUGAGAGCCCAGUACCCUCUACAGACUAACAGUGAGGGGCAGGAAGGAUGAAGACUUCAGGGGGCUUCUCCUCCAAAUUCUCACAAGGCACACAGCUACUUUCAAACUUUUAUUUUCAAAAGAAAAAAACUCCAUAAAAACACAAACUAAGAUACAGAAGGGAUAUAUUUUUCCUGUUAAAAAUGAGAUGUGCAUUUUAGACACUUGGGAAAAUAUAAAUAAAUAGAAGGGAAGGGAGGCGAAUAGCACUUAAAAAUCCAACCUCCCCAAAGCCAUCAUUUUGAUACAUUUCUUCAAGUCUUUUUUACAGGAUUUUUUUUAGUAAUUCACACCAUAUGCAUGAUGCUGCAUUGAUUUGUAUGAUAGCUUAAAUAUCUUCUGCCUCACAAGAUACCAUGGCUGUUUUUAGUGACUGAGAGUAAACUGGCUAGGCCAUGGCUGAAUAUAGUCCUUUUCUUUAAUCUGUCUAACUUUCUACAAUGUACUCAUGCAAA
rnacentral:sRNA from 1 species